rnacentral:lncRNA from 14 species
UUUUUAUGUUUUUACCCCGUCCUAAACAUCUCCCAUGGAUUAUUCAUUAUCGAACUCUCUUGUUUUAGUGUUUUUUCAUUUAGCAAAUCUGCAUUAAUCAUGUAUUGUUGUUUUCAGACACAGGAACACAGUCAUUAUUUUCUUGUUCGUACAUGGAAAUGGCUAAAACUGCUUGGUAACAGUGAAGUCAUUAACAAAGAAACACUGCUGUCUUCAAGAAGACUAAUAUGGCUGGUACCUGGUUUCAUAGCAUCAACUGGAUAGAACAAGAAGUCUGGAAAUAUGGCAGUGUUCUUGAUUACCACAAGACAACCCUUUCCUUGGCUUCCCUAUCAUCUUAACCCUGAAGUACCACGUGAGACAGCAGUAUCCAGAAUAUGGAAGUCACUGUUAAGCUAAAUAACACCAUAAUCUAAACAAUUAAAAAUCUUCAGUCUCUGCUAUAAACUAAUCAGACUGGAUCAGUUAAAGAAAAUCUUAGGUGAAAUGUCUGUGGAGUUAUAAAUCAAAUCCACUGAAGUACCUGCAGAAACAAAUUCACUCCUUUUCAUGUAUUUGCUGCAUUUGCUUCACUUUGUACAAAAUCAUGCUUACCUCUUUUUAAAGGUGAGCACAAUUACCUGUUUUUCCUUUUAAAACCGUGUGCUAUC